AAUAAUUAAAAUAAAAGCUAAACUUAUAUAACCGAGCUCUCGUCGCACCGACCCACCGAGGAUUACUUGAAAAUAUUAGUUAAACAGAAAGUGAGUUUUCAAAACUUAGUAUAUACUGAAUAACUUUAAAUAGUUAAUGCAUAACAGAUAGAUUUAACAGAAUCAUAUUAGAGUAAUACAGAUACUGACAUAUAAUCCUACCCCCAUUUGCUACACACCAACUCUGACCAUCACAACACACCAUGUG
rnacentral:lncRNA from 1 species